CAGGGCUGUGCUUGGAAAGCUGUGAGAUGGCCGCAGCACUUACAGGAGCGCCUCUGCCUUCUCAAACAGCUGAUCAGCGGGGGUCCCGAGUGUCUGACCCCCACCAGUCCGAUACUGAUGACCUAUCCUGAAGAUU